AGGUGCUUGUGGAAUGGAUAGACGUCAGAACACAUACAUUAUGGACAAAGGCUUCAAAGAUUACAUGAAAGAAUCCGUGUGCAGUUCUAGCACUUGUUCCUUGAAUAGCAGUGAAAACCCUUACGCCACAAUUAAGGACCCACCCAUUCUCACCUGCAAGCUUCCAGAAAGCAGCUAUGUAGAAAUGAAGUCACCUAUGCACAGGGGGUCUCCGUAUACAGAUAUGCCAUCCUUGUCGACAUCUAAUAAAAAUAUAUAUGAAGUUGG